AACUGUUCUGAUGGCCUAGUGGUUAGAGCGUCCGCCUCAGAUGCGGAAGAUCCUGGGUUAUAUCCCCGGUCGAGUCA